rnacentral:rRNA from 1 species
UACGGGGGGGCAAGCGUUGUUCGGAAUUACUGGGCGUAAAGGGCUCGUAGGCGGCCAACUAAGUCGGAUGUGAAAUCCCCAGGCUUAACCUGGGAACUGCAUCCGAUACUGGAUGGCUUGAAUCCGGGAGAGGGAUGCGGAAUUCCAGGUGUAGCGGUGAAAUGCGUAGAUAUCUGGAGGAACACCGGUGGCGAAGGCGGCGAUCCUGGACCG